UCACCUUUCCCUUCUCCAUACACCCAAUUCGCCACUUCCCUUCUCUCUCCCAAAAUCUUGCUCAAAUUUCCCUUCAUCUGUUUAAUAUUUCAAGAUUUAAUCUUUCAUAUUUCAAGAUAAUCAAGAAUCAAGCUGUGUGCAGACAACAUCGUAUAAUACCAAAAUACCAUGUUGUCUUUCACCCCUCUUCAAUCCAAGCCAACACCACCCACCCCCACCUCAAACCCCACCCGUUGGUCUUGGUCUCAUCUCACCCACCACCACCCCACUACCCGCCGCCACUUCUCUGCCUCUUCACCCUCCAAAGUCAGUUACCGCCGCCUUAGCAUUAAUGCCAUUGAUGCAGCACAGCCAUAUGAUUAUGAAGCAUUAGUUUCAAAUCAAUAUGCUCAGUCAACAAGACUCAAGAUUGCUAUAGUGGGUUUUGGCAACUUCGGUCAGUUUCUUGCUAAAGCCUUUGUUCGUCAAGGUCAUGUUGUUUUUGCUCAUUCAAGAACUGAUUACUCACACAUUGCAAAUUCUUUAGGUGUUUUGUUUUUUCAAGAUCCACAUGACCUUUGUGAGCAACAUCCUGAUGUUAUUCUACUUUGUACUUCAAUUAUAUCUACUGAACCUGUCCUUAGAUCACUCCCUAUUCAAAGGCUAAAAAGAAACACAUUAUUUGUUGAUGUUUUGUC
rnacentral:lncRNA from 1 species